AAAUUGAAGAGUUUGAUCAUGGCUCAGAUUGAACGCUGGCGGCAGGCCUAACACAUGCAAGUCGAACGGUAACAGGAAGCAGCUUGCUGCUUCGCUGACGAGUGGCGGACGGGUGAGUAAUGUCUGGGAAACUGCCUGAUGGAGGGGGAUAACUACUGGAAACGGUGGCUAAUACCGCAUAACGUCGCAAGACCAAAGAGGGGGACCUUCGGGCCUCUUGCCAUCAGAUGUGCCCAGAUGGGAUUAGCUUGUUGGUGAGGUAAUGGCUCACCAAGGCGACGAUCCCUAGCUGGUCUGAGAGGAUGACCAGCCACACUGGAACUGAGACACGGUCCAGACUCCUACGGGAGGCAGCAGUGGGGAAUAUUGCACAAUGGGCGCAAGCCUGAUGCAGCCAUGCCGCGUGUAUGAAGAAGGCCUUCGGGUUGUAAAGUACUUUCAGCGGGGAGGAAGGUGUUGUGGUUAAUAACCACAGCAAUUGACGUUACCC
rnacentral:rRNA from 1 species